GUGGGGAAUAUUGGUCAAUGGGGGAAACCCUGAACCAGCAACGCCGCGUGAAGGAAGAAGGCUUUCGGGUUGUAAACUUCUUUGACAGGGGACGAAAGCAAUGACGGUACCCUGAAAACAAGCCACGGCUAACUACGUGCCAGCAGCCGCGGUAAUACGUAGGUGGCGAGCGUUGUCCGGAUUUACUGGGUGUAAAGGGCGUGUAGGCGGGGCGGUAAGUCAGAUGUGAAAUGUAGGGGCUCAACCCCUGAAUUGCAUUUGAAACUAUCGUUCUUGAGUGAUGGAGAUGCAGGCGGAAUUCCGUGUGUAGCGGUGAAAUGCGUAGAUAUACGGAGGAACACCAGUGGCGAAGGCGGCCUGCUGGACAUUAACUGACGCUGAGGCGCGAAAGCGUGGGGAGCAAACAGGAUUAGAUACCCCUGUAGUCC
rnacentral:rRNA from 1 species